GAUGAAGAACGUAGCGAAAUGCGAUACGUAGUGUGAAUUGCAGAAUCCCGUGAACCAUCGAGUCUUUGAACGCAAGUUGCGCCCGAAGCCACUAGGCCGAGGGCACGCCUGCCUGGGCGUCACACGUCGUUGCCCCCCACCAUCUACUCCUUCGGGAUUGCGGGGGGCGGAUGAUGGCCUCCCGUGCGCCUAGCCGCGCGGUUGGCAUAAAUACCAAGUCCUCGGCGACGCACGCCACGACAAUCGGUGGUUGCGAAACCUCGGUUGCCCGUCGUGUGCGUUCGUCGCGCAUCGAGGGCUCGAAAAAAUGCUCGGCUCCGGCUCGGCUUUCAACGCGACCCCAGGUCAGGCGGGGUUACCCGCUGAAUUUAAGCAUAUCAAUAAGCGGAGGA
rnacentral:misc_RNA from 1 species